rnacentral:rRNA from 1 species
CCCUUAGAUGUUCUGGGCCGCACGCGCGCUACACUGAAGGGAUCAGCGUGUUUUCCCUUUCCGAGAGGAACGGGUAACCCGCUGAACCCCCUUCGUGGUAGGGAUCGGAGCUUGCAAUUGUUCUCCGUGAACCAGGAAUUCCCAGUAAGCGCAAGUCAUAAGCUUGCGUUGAUUACGUCCCUGCCCUUUGUACACACCGCCCGUCGCUACUACCGAUUGAACGUUUUAGUGAGGUAUUUGGACUGGGCCUUGGGAGGUUUCGGCCUCCCUUGUUGCUCGGAAAGACUCCCAAACUCGAGCGUUUAGAGGAAGUAAAAGUCGUAACA